rnacentral:rRNA from 1 species
UAUUGGACAAUGGGGGUAACCCUGAUCCAGCGACGCCGCGUGUGUGAAGAAGUAUUUCGGUCUGUAAAGCUCUAUCAGCAGGGAAGAAAGAAAUGACGGUACCUGACUAAGAAGCCCCGGCUCACUACGUGCCAGCAGCCGCGGUAAUACGUAGGGGGCAAGCGUUAUCCGAAUUUACUGGGUGUAAAGGGUGCGUAGGUGGCAGGGCAAGUCAGAUGUGAAAGCCCGGGGCUCAACCCCGGUACUGCAUUUGAAACUGUCCAGCUGGAGUGCAGGAGAGGUAAGCGGAAUUCCUAGUGUAGCGGUGAAAUGCGUAGAUAUUAGGAGGAACACCAGUGGCGAAGGCGGCUUACUGGACUGUAACUGACACUGAGGCACGAAAGCGUGGGGAGCAA